CUAAUAGAUUGUUGCCAUUGUAUAAGUAAUUGUUCCUUGGGUAGAAUAAAGGUUAUAUAUAAUUUACGUGUCGAUUAUGAUGUAAUGGGAAUUAUUUUGCCAUAGACAUACAUACGCAUCAUGACCCUGCCUCGCAUAUGUCGGCCGUCUAGAGCUACCGGCGAAAUGUUAAUUAAUUUCUUAAACACCUAUAAAUAAUAUAACCUCUGGUCACGGAUGACUGGAACAGAAGUCACUCAAGUAUAUAAGUGGUAUGUUCUACCAAGUAUUCUCAGCUCCUGUGAAAGAUAACCUUUGGUGGCCUAAUUCCGGCUUCUUUUACGACUGAAAAGAUUACCGAAAAAGAAACAGACAAGGAUAUAAAAAUUCAUGAAAAAAUGGAAUGCAGUGCAUACAGUUUUGAAUAACAAGGAUGCAGUUUUAGUGGUCAUCAUAGGAUAAUAACCACUGUACAAUAAUGUACAUUCACCUGAAGAAGGAUGAAAAUCCAGAAAGCGCUAGUGAAUAGAAACUUUGGAACUGUUCAUUUUCUUUUUCUUUUUUGAUUAUUUAUACUGUGUGAUAUCACCUUUCACUCAUUUUGGAUUAUAUAUAUAUAUAUAUAUAUAUAUAUAUAUAUAUAUAUAUAUAUA